ACUUCGGAAAGGAGGUGGUUCGGCAGAUGUAUGCACACCGGACGGAAGAGGUGGCUGCGGGCUAGUGGCCCGUCGCCGUACUCGGUUCGGCGCCGGACCGGCGUGUGAGUGAUACACGCAACCGGCCCCAUCCCAACGCAGUCACCCGACCCGCGAGUCGCCGGUACGUCCGGCCGGCUCCUCCCCAGGGAGGAACCAGACUCGCGGGUCGUCUGCG
rnacentral:sRNA from 1 species